rnacentral:lncRNA from 1 species
GGAAGAUAAUGCAGGCAAGAUGAGGUAUGAAGAGAAACCCCACCAUUGCUGGUUUUGAGGAUGAAGGGUCCCACGAGCCAAAAAAUGUGGAGUGAGUGGCCUUUAGAAACUGAGAACAACUCUAGCCCAACAGCCAGCAAGAAAAUGGGGACCUCAUUCCUGCAACUGCAUGGAACUAAAUGCAGUCAGCAACAUGCAUGAGCCAGGGAUCACAUUCUUCUCCAGAGCCUUCAUAAGAUUAGCAGUCCUGCCAUCUUGGUUUCAGCCUGCUUGGAAUUCAUGCACCAAGACUGAAUCAUGCAUCCCUGACAGAACCAGGUUUCAGCAUAUACUCUUACAAUCUUCCCCCAAGUUGGGAAGUGGGUUUGGUGACAGCCUGUGAGACACGGUGGUGAGGAUAAGAAAGAGAAAGCUGAGCA